rnacentral:rRNA from 1 species
CCCUUAGAUGUUCUGGGCUGCACACGUGCUACACUGGCAGGUUCAGUGAGCUUCAUGCCCUGAUCUGAAAGGAAUGGGAAAUCUUUUCAAAACCUGCCGUGCUUGGGAUAGAUGUUUGCAAUUAUUCAUCUUCAACGAGGAUUGCCUUGUAAGCGCACGUCAUCAGCGUGCAUUGAAUACGACCCUGUAUUCUGUACACACCGCCCGUCGCUCCUACCGAUUGAAGUUUUCGGUGAGUUGACAGGAGGAUUUUUUUGAAACUGGUUCGCCAGUGGAUUUUAGAUCCAAAUGCCAACGAAUCGAUGGCUUUAGAGGAAGGAGAAGUCGUAACA